rnacentral:rRNA from 1 species
UACGGCCAUACCACCCUGAACGCGCCCGAUCUCGUCUGAUCUCGGAAGCUAAGCAGGGUCGGGCCUGGUUAGUACUUGGAUGGGAGAAAUCAGUAGCAGAAAUAA